AGCGAACGCUGGCGGCGUGCCUAAACACAUGCAAGUCGAACGUGAACGGGGGCAACUCCUAGUAAAGUGGCGCACGGGUGAGUAACGCGUAGGUAAUCUACCCUAGAGUCUGGAAUAACAUGCCGAAAGGCGUGCUAAUACUGGAUAGAGCGAGGAACUCGUAAGAGGGUUUCUCGGGAAAGGGAGGCCGUAAGGUCCCUUGCUUUAGGAUGAGCCCUGCGUCUCAUUAGCUAGUUGGGGGUAAAAGCCCACCAAGGCGAUGAUGGGUAGCUGGUCUGAGAGGAUGAUCAGCCACACUGGAACUGAAACACGGUCCAGACUCCUACGGGAGGCAGCAGUGGGGAAUCUUGCGCAAUGGACGAAAGUCUGACGCAGCAACGCCGCGUGAGUGAAGAAGGCCUU
rnacentral:rRNA from 1 species